rnacentral:lncRNA from 1 species
UUUUUGAUCAUAUCUGCUGACCAUACGAGGUACCGCUAGCCUCUUGGGAGGUGGAGAUGCUAGCGAAAGCGAUGUUGGAUCAUUAGCUUCUAAAUCAUCUACCUGUCCAUCGCCUUCUAGGUGUUGUUGUCCCAUCGUCCUCAUUAAGAGCUUCUAGGACAGGUGAUAUUAUUGGCCGCUCAUCCUCGUUGUUAGGUCCCUGUACAUGUGAUAGUGUCGACUGCUCUGUGUCAACAUUUGAAUCUGGAAGGGGUACUUCUUGGCUCGGCCAUUGUUGAUGGUAGUAAGCGUGCCAGUUUGUGAACCGCAAACGCAUGGAUCAUUGUAGCUUUUCCCUUAGAGUAUUCCAUCCAAGGUUUAUCAAUCCAUGGAUCAACAGUGAACUUAGUAGGGUCUCUAUAUAGUCUAACGGAUCUAUCCUAACAUGAAGCAUCGAUUGCAUAUAAAGGUAAACAUAAAAGAUAUGAAUGAUAGAGCAUAGGUUGAUCAUAUCCACAAAUAUAUAUGAGAUAUCAUAACCAAGGGUAAGAAGAGCAUGUCACCUUCGUGUUGUAGAUCUAGAUAAUAAGCAAGAAAAUCAUGGAACUCCUCUAAAGCAAUCUUUAAACUACUACCUCCGGUAAACCUCCCAAAAACCCCUACCCUACACGGAAGUAGACCCCAUCACGAUCCCCUAUCGGCGCUGGUAGUUUAAGAGCACGAACACAGGUGAACACGUCUAACUACCAUGAAGGAUUAACAUACUAGAUCUAAUCACCAUAAUUACACCAAGCAUGCUAGAUAGUC